UCCCUGGUGGCUCAGAGGUUAAAGCGUCUGCCUGCAAUGCGGGAGACCCGGGUUCGAUCCCUGAGUCAGGAA
rnacentral:tRNA from 1 species